rnacentral:rRNA from 1 species
AUACGUAGGUGACAAGCGUUAUCCGGAUUUACUGGGCGUAAAGGGCGUGUAGGCGGUCUUGCAAGUCAGAAGUGAAAUUCCCGGGCUUAACUUGGGCGCUGCUUCUGAAACUGCUUUACUUGAGUGCUGGAGAGGAUAGUGGAAUUCCUAGUGUAGCGGUAAAAUGCGCAGAUAUUAGGAGGAACACCGGUGGCGAAGGCGGCUAUCUGGACAGUAACUGACGCUGAGGCGCGAAAGCACGGGGAGCAAACAGGAUUAGAUACCCUGGUAGUCCGUGCCGUAAACGAUGAAUACUAGGUGUAGGGGGUAUCGACUCCCUCUGUGCCGCAGUUAACACAUUAAGUAUUCCACCUGGGGAGUACGGCCGCAGGGUUGAAACUCAAAGGAAUUGACGGGG